GUACAUCCUGGUGGCGCUACCAUGUCCAGAAGGUCACGUGCGAGGAUUCUCCUAGCGCUGAUGACCAAACUCCCUGGAUCCAAACAAGAACUGGUGUCGGGGUGACCACAGCCUGUGUUUUAGUUGUGGUCAUCGUCCCGGUCAUCGUUAUGAUUGUGAAGUGCAAAAAAUCGAAAAGUUCGGUAGAUACAAAUGAACGAGCUGUUCUACGUGAUCACACACCUCUACAUUCCAAAGGUACAGUGAAAAAAAUGGCGAUAUCUUCGGUUCCUCGGCCAGCGAAAAGUUUUGAAGAAAUCAACGACUGGAGAUCGAAUUGGACUGGUAAUGAGCAAGGAAAUAUUUGAUUAUGUAUUAUUCAGAAAGACACUGCAUAUAAAACGAAAAUGUGCACGUUAUACAUACGCAUUAUAAACGAAUCUUUAUUUUAACAAACACCCAUUGUUCUUAAGGGAAAACAUUUCAGAAUGAUUUUAUACUGAGUAACAAAAGCAGUUUAUAUACAUCAAUAGGAAGUGUAUUCCAUUAAUUAAGGACCUAAGAACCAGCCUACUUUUGUUUGUUAAUUAGACUAUUGUUUUGUAUUUACGCUAAGGCGUGUUGUUUGCUACCUAUUUAUAUACAUAUAGGAUGUUUUAAUGUAACAAUACUGGAAUUGCUUUAUGCAUGCUUUAUGCAUAAUUUCUUCAUUUAUAAGUUUAGCAUGUCUUCUUUUUCUCUCUAUCUUUCUUUCUUUAUUUUUUAUUUAUUUAUUUUUUAAAUCCAUCUUACAUAUUGGAGUGUCUGGACGACUGCUUUGAUCGUUUCAGCUGUGAGGUCUAUAUCAUUGACCCAAUUGUCCUUUUAGUUCCGUCUUUUGUUGUUGUUAAAAAUGUUUCGAAACACAUGCUGAAUGCCUUUAUCAGUAAUAAUGAGACAUGUAUGAAGGAAUGCGUAUCGGGCAUGUACUUGAUUGGUUCUCCGUAUUUACUUGCUGUUUUUAAUAUGUGUUUUACUCUUCCGUAAUUCAAUGAUCAUGGGUUAACAGUAAUUAGAUUGAUUUGGUAGUCUUAAAUGCAAUUGAGAACUUAUUAUAAAAACGCUCUAUCAAAAAUACCUUUCCAGGUCUUCAUCUAGCGCUUUGUUCUGGGUCUGAUGUUAAUGAGGACGGAUUUGACGUUCGAGUGUUGAUCCGUUUAAUCAGACAUAUAUUGAGUAUCACGUAACGUGGCUUUAUUUUGGAAUUGACUUAUAACGAUAACCUGCCGUUGAUAAGAUUAGCGAAACAUAUAAUUACAUCUGAUAGAAAUCUCAAAACCGCGCCUGUUUUACAAAAUGUAUCACCGGGCUGCAUCUAUUAGUCAACAACGAAAGAUAGUAUUGCAAGGGAAGGUCACUGCCUUCGUGUAUACUACUCAUCCCUCCGCUACCGAUAACAUCAGUGAUUUCCUAACAUACUAACAUACGUAGGAAUAAAUAUAUAUAUAUUCUUCAUCAACAACUUGUUCCUUAGAAUGGGAUUCCCAUGCAUACGCCAACAUGAUAUAAAUAAAUGUUUGUUCCUGAGUAUGGAUUUUCCAUACACGUGUUAAUUACAUAAUCAAACCUCUCUACAAGGUGUGCACUAGUAUGGACAUCCGGACAAUUGUAGUAAAACCCAGUUUCGUCCGUUAACAUUCGUGAUCUUAUGGAAUACACGUGGCCGAGUCCGACACUCCUAUCAUUGUAUAUUAUUUCCCAUUAAUCCUGCCACAAAACGAUACAUAUGCUUGAAAUCGUCGCUACUUGCAUGAUAUCCAGGUAAUAUUGUAGUUGUUACGUAGAAGACCGGACAGACAAUGCCUGACUGAAGGACAUUUUCUCAUUGUUUUGUUAUGGUUUGUAUGUCUCAUUUAUAGAAGUAAAAUAUCAUUCAAAUGCACACAAAUGAGUGAUAAUGUGUUUCGAUUAACAGACGUCCUUCUAUGAAUAAAAUAUUUAUACCAAACUCUUAAACAUCGUUGGUUCAAGAUAGUCGAGAGUCGAACCAGCGCCAUGGUUCUCUCUCCUGCCUGACAAAGACUUUCACACUGCGAUCUGUGAUAUUCCUGGACCACUAAAUAACAUCAAUGUUUGAAAUAACUUUUAUUGUGACAUUUAUGUACAUUUCAUAUAUCGUGAAUCCGAAGCCGACCUGACUGUAGUUACAUUUGAACAUUUACAUUUGAGCGUAAAUGUAUAAUUAUGGUAACGAUUUUUUUAUUAUAAUUGCCUGUAUUUAUAUUAUGUAAAAUGUG